rnacentral:lncRNA from 1 species
ACAAAACCAGAAAACAGCUACCAGGGGGCUUGGAUCUCCAUCUUUCUGUCUCUCUGCUCACUGUGACUUCCCUAACGUUCUCUAUACAGGAGGAAUCCUUGGGCUAGGUUAAGGGAUUGGGGGACCCCACUCCUAUUACAGUGCAUCGCUCCCAUAGGGCUCUGGAGGGAGCCAGCUGUCCUCCCCCUCUCCCCCGUUCCAGUCCAGCCCAGCUCAGCCCAUGGCCCCAUCAGACCCUGUUGGGGGCUUUUUUUUUUUCACCCACUGUGAGCAGUUACAUUAAUUGCUAAUGACAAAGGCAACUUUCAUUCUGUGAGGUUCCCUGACCAUUCUUGGAUCCUGUACAAGGCCUCCCUUUUCUUUUCUUUUUUUUUUUCUCCCUCCCCCUAUAGGAAAUGGAACCCGAGAUGUGCGAAGAAAAAAAAAAAAAACAGUGCACAUAUUGUCGGUUAAUUGACUCCCGCUCGUUCAUCGGGCGGCGCGUGUGCUGUAGGGUGUCUGCCCCACAACAGGAAAGAAUAAACCCAGACUCAAAUCAUAGGAAAUUCAUCAAAUGUGCUUCUGCUAGCUCUGUCUUUCAAGACCUGGCCUCCCCAGACACAGAGAGACUGCCUGCCCCCAAGUCUGAGAUGGUUGGGAGGGAAUUUGUUGAUUAACUUUGGAAACAAGCAGGCACCAGGCUGGGUGCUGACCAGCCACUUCCAAAAGGGAACAGACCUUUCCCCAACAUGGUAGGGACCGGAAGUGGGGAGUCAUCCACCCAGGAGAGCCUCCGGAGUAAGUCACAGACUGAAGGCAAAAAGGUAAUUAGUCUGAUAGCUUUUCAGAUUUUUUAGAAAAUACUGCACUUAAAACUUGCAAGUCAACUGAGCGACUGUCGGCAGCCUAUAAAUGCUCCCAUAUCCACAGACAUCAGCAGUCUUCCAGUUACCAAAAAAAAAAAAAAGUCAUAAUACAUACAUAUUAAUGGAGCACGUUUUGUCCUUUGGGGGGCAUAAUUUUUAAAAGGGCC